rnacentral:rRNA from 1 species
GGAUUAGAUACCCUGGUAGUCCAUGCUGUAAACGAUGAUUACUAAGCGUCGGGGGUCGAACCUCGGCACUCAAGCUAACGCGAUAAGUAAUCCGCCUGGGGAGUACGUACGCAAGUAUGAAACUCAAAGGAAUUGACGGGGACCCGCACAAGUGGUGGAGCAUGUGGUUUAAUUCGACGCAACGCGAGGAACCUUACCAGCGUUUGACAUCUUAGGAAUGGGAAAGAGAUUUCCUAGUGCUCCUUCGGGAGAACCUAAAGACAGGUGGUGCAUGGCUGUCGUCAGCUCGUGCCG